rnacentral:lncRNA from 1 species
GGUUAAUUUUCGGUUAACCGAUGGUAAAAAAAAUAUCCGUUGACCGACUUUCGGUUAAUUCGGUUUCGUUAACGGUUCGAUUAUUGCACACCCCUACUUUGUGAUAAUCGAAGAUUCACACUAAAAGAGCUACUUUAGUCAUUUUCUUGAUAUUGAAUUAUGAUUAUGAUAACUAACCAACACAUUAAUUGAAGAAGAACUUUUUAACAAACAAAAGGAAUAGCAAUGGCAAUGGCUAACUAUAAUUUUUAUAAAAGAUUAUACGUGUCAAGAUUAGGUACAAAGAAUUCACGGGGAUAAACAAUAGAACAUGAUGAUGAUGAAUAACACAAGUUGACUUUUUAACUAACACAAAAAAGGGUUGGACCACACAAGAUUAAGGUGCAUCCUUUUCAAUUAUUUAUUGUUUCUUUGAAAAUAUCAACCAAUCCAGUACGGCACUUGGCCCAAUAAAUAAAAAAGUCCAAAAAGAUUAAGUGCUAUCAACGAUUUCCCAUGACAAAGUAGUUAUUUGACUAAAUAAUUCCAUUAGUUAUAAUUAUAUUUAUUUAUUUAAUAUUGAUAAAAUAUACAAUUUAAUUUAAAAAAAUAUUUUUAUUUUUUUUCUUUGUAAGAAAUUAAUUUAAGUGAACUUACUCAUUUUCUUUUUUUUUUCUUUGUAAGAAAUAAAUUUAAAUGAACUUACUCAUUUUCUUCCCUAUAAAAGCAAGAGUA